rnacentral:rRNA from 1 species
AAAAAAUUUAAUUUUAGUUUGUUUAAUUGAAAGGAUCGUAACAUUAAAGAAUAUGGUAUUAAGCUAAAAAAUUUUUUUUAAGAUAAUAAAAAUUAUUAAUUUUUAGAUGUGAAUUUUUUAAAAUAAUUUAGAAAAUAAAGAUUAGAUAAAGACGGUUUUUUAGAAAAGCUAAUUAGAGUGCCAGCAGCUGCGGUUAUUCUCAGUUUAAAAAUUAAAAGGGUAAGAAAAAAGGAUAAAAAAGAAGAUUCAUUUUUUAGGUAAUAUUAGGAAACAGUAAUUUUUUAUAAAAUAAAAAAGAUAUUUUUUUUAGACUUAUUGGUAAUAAUAACUAUAGAAAUAAAGAAUUUUUUUUCUAUAAACAAAUAAAAAGAUUUGGCAGUAAAUUUGAAUUUUCUGGGGAGUGUGCCUAAUAAAGAGAAUAUACGCUUAAUAAUUUUUUAAUUUUAUUAGCUAGUGUACGGUUGUUUAGAGAUUUCUUUAAAAGAAAAAAGUCUGAAAGCAAAUCAUUGUGCUGCAAUGGAUUAAAAAUUAGGUUCACUACAUUUAAAAUAGAUAAAGUUUAAAUAAAUUUUUAUUUUAGGACUAGAAAGUAAAUAAAAAUAAGUUAGUUUUUUUGAAGUUUAAAGAAAUUUGAGUACACAUUGCCCGUCAAUCUUUUGAGAAAGAUAAGUCGUAACAUGGUAAGUUUAGCUGAAGCUGAGCUUUUUUUAAU